CAAAAAAGCACUGAUUACCUGUAUAUUCUUUAACAAUAACGGUUUACUAUUCUCAGGAAUUAGUCAUUCAAAAGACGGUGAGGAAAAGAAUGGUCGACAAACCUUGUGUGGUGCCUUAACAGUCCAUCAGACUAAGGGAUAGAUAAAGGUAGAUCUUGAUUACACUGCCUGGUUUUGUGGUUUGCACGAGACGGUUGACACAAUGAUCUGAAGUUCAAACUGCCAUUUUCUACUGUCCGCUGCAAGAUCUUGGCUGGAAUGUAAAAGGAAUGUCCAAAAUAUUUAAAUGACAAACAGGAUGGGAACUGAUAAUGAGGAAUAUGCUGAAACAGACAUCUGGCAUAUUCCUAUAAUCAGUAUCAUGGCCUUUGUAUACAACAAAAUUGAUUGGAACUCCUAGACUAGAAAUAUAAUUCAAGAUUUAAAUAAGGCACUGGUCAUAGUUUUAGAAAGUGUGGCUAGCAUUCUGAAGGAAGACAGAGAGAUGGAAAGACAUCAAAGAAUGGGCAGGUCUGCCAAGAAAUGGUUUAUCCAGGGCUAAGUACAGAGAGGAAUAUAGAAGGGCUGUUGACAGAUCUUGUGUGGUGCCCCCAUGGUUCAACAGACUAAUUGAUUGAAAAUAAUACCAGGGUUAUGCUCCUUUGACCAUUGAGUUCCAGGAUGAAGAAUGAAAGACAGAGAGCAAUGUGAAGACAUGAAAGAAUGGGCAGGUCUGCCAUGAAAUGGUUUAUCCAGGGCUAAGUACAGAGAGGAAUAUAGAAGGGCUGUUGACAGAUCUUGUGUGGUGCCCCCAUGGUUCAACAGACUGAUUGAUAGGUAAUGGUAA